rnacentral:rRNA from 1 species
AAAUUGAAGAGUUUGAUCAUGGCUCAGAUUGAACGCUGGCGGCAGGCCUAACACAUGCAAGUCGAACGGUAACAGGAAGCAGCUUGCUGCUUCGCUGACGAGUGGCGGACGGGUGAGUAAUGUCUGGGAAACUGCCUGAUGGAGGGGGAUAACUACUGGAAACGGUGGCUAAUACCGCAUAACGUCGCAAGACCAAAGAGGGGGACCUUCGGGCCUCUUGCCAUCAGAUGUGCCCAGAUGGGAUUAGCUUGUUGGUGAGGUAAUGGCUCACCAAGGCGACGAUCCCUAGCUGGUCUGAGAGGAUGACCAGCCACACUGGAACUGAGACACGGUCCAGACUCCUACGGGAGGCAGCAGUGGGGAAUAUUGCACAAUGGGCGCAAGCCUGAUGCAGCCAUGCCG